UUUUUCUUCUUCUUCUUUGUCAAAUAUAAUGAACUAAAAUCAAUGCACAAAAAUGAUGUGCUAGGAGGAUGUUUGUUUUACUAGCAUACAUACAUCCCUCUGCAACAAUCAUAUUACAUUACAUAUAUUGAAAAAUUC
rnacentral:ribozyme from 1 species